rnacentral:SRP_RNA from 1 species
UGUUGGUUCUCCCGCAACGCUACUCUGUUUACCAGGUCAGGUCCGGAAGGAAGCAGCCAGAGCAGACGACGUGUGUGCCGGGAUGUAGC